rnacentral:rRNA from 1 species
UCGAAACCUGCAUAGCAGACCAGCGAACGUGUGUUUUUACCUAAAGGGUGUUGGAGCUCGGUCAGGAGCAAUCCUGUUCGAGCACCACCCCUNUGCUCGGCCGACGCUUGCGUCGUUCGGGCUAACGAACCCCGGCGCGGAAUGCGCCAAGGAAAACCAAUAAAGAUGUGCUGCGCCCCCGUURGCCCCGUUCGCGGGUGCUACUCGGGGACAACGCGGCCUCUCUUGAAAGUCAUAACGACUCUCGGCAACGGAUAUCUCGGCUCUCGCAUCGAUGAAGAACGUAGCGAAAUGCGAUACUUGGUGUGAAUUGCAGAAUCCCGUGAACCAUCGAGUCUUUGAACGCAAGUUGCGCCCGAAGCCAUUAGGCCGAGGGCACGUCUGCCUGGGCGUCACGCAUCGCGUCGCCCCCCUCCCAACCCUUAGGGCCACGGAGAGGGGUCGGAAAAUGGCAUCCCGUGCGCUUAGCCGCGCGGCCUGCCCAAAUGCGAUCCCGCAUCGACGGAUGUCACGACAAGUGGUGGUUGAACUCUCAAUUUUCUAAUUCGUCGUGCCUAUCACCGUCGAUUGCAAGGGCAUCAAUUUGACCCAACGGCGCCUUCACGGUGCCUUCGAC